GUGUCAGCCGCCGCGGUAAGACAGAGGUGCCAAGCGUUAGACGGAAUCACUGGGCUUAAAGCGUGUGUAGGCGGACUCCUAAGUACUUUGUGAAAUCCCACGGCUCAACCGUGGAACUGCUUGGUAUACUGGGAGUCUUGAGCCAGCUAGGGGCUACCGGAACAAACGGUGGAGCGGUGAAAUGCGUAGAUAUCAUUUGGAACGCCAAUGGUGAAAACAGGUAGCUGGGGCUGUGCUGACGCUGAGACACGAAAGCCAGGGGAGCGAACGGGAUUAGAUACCCCGGUAGUCCUGGCUGUAAACGAUGUCAACUAGAUCGUGGUGGCUCUGACGCCAUCACGGUCGAAGCAAAAGUGCUAAGUUGACCGCCUGGGAAGUACGGUCGCAAGGCUAAAACUCAAAGGAAUUGACGG
rnacentral:rRNA from 1 species